AUUUACGAAUAGCUGCAACCACGAACUUUAUUGAAAUCUGUGAUCAGGUUUUUCCUGAAGCUGAAAAGAAUGGAAUUUUUAUCAAUAAAAUAUAUGACAGUGAACAAAUUCAACCUUCGUCGCUUGAUUCGCCGUUUUGUAAAUUGUUCUUUUCUGCUUUUGAUGAACUUGAACUAGAAACACGGGCUAUGAUUUUCCCGGCAGGAACCGAUGGAAGAUAUCUUCGCGGAG